UUUCACGUGCUUUUUAACUCUCUUUCCAAAGUGCUUUUCAUCUUUCGAUCACUCUACUUGUGCGCUAUCGGUCUCUGGCCAAUAUUUAGCUUUAGAAGAAAUUU
rnacentral:rRNA from 1 species